rnacentral:rRNA from 1 species
GACGAACGCUGGCGGCGUGCUUAACACAUGCAAGUCGAACGAAGUGGCGAACGGGUGAGUAACGCGUAAUCAACCUGCCCUUCAGAGGGGGACAACAGUUGGAAACGACUGCUAAUACCGCAUACUGAAGGAGGGGAUUGCGUCUGAUUAGCUAGUUGGAGGGAUAACGGCCAACCAAGUCGAAGAUCAGUAGCCGUACUGAGAGGAGGAACGGCUACAUCGGGACUGAGACAAGGCCCAGACUCCUACGGGAGGCAGCAGUGGGGACUCUUCCGAAAUGGACGAAAGUCUGUCGGAGCAACGCCGCGGGAGUGAUGACGGCCUUCGGGUUGUAAAGCUCUGUUAAUCGGGACGCGGUACCGGAAUAGAAAGCCACGGCUAACUACGUGCCAGCAGCCGCGGUAAUUC